rnacentral:hammerhead_ribozyme from 1 species
AUCCGGCUGACGAGUUCCAAAUAGGACGAGACGCGUGUCUUGAAU